CGGGAAUUCCGAGACAGGUGCUGCAUGGCUGUCGUCAGCUCGUGCCGUGAGGUGUUGGGUUAAGUCCCGCAACGAGCGCAACCCUAUUGCCAGUUGCUACCAGGUAAUGCUGGGCACUCUGGUGAGACUGCCCCGGUUAACGGGGAGGAAGGUGGGGACGACGUCAAGUCAUCAUGGCCCUUACGCCUAGGGCUACACACGUACUACAAUGGCGCAUACAAAGGGCAGCGAUACCGCGAGGUGGAGCCAAUCCCAAAAAGUGCGUCCCAGUCCGGAUUGCAGUCUGCAACUCGACUGCAUGAAGUUGGAAUCGCUAGUAAUUCGAGAUCAGCAUGCUCGGGUGAAUGCGUUCCCGGGCCUU
rnacentral:rRNA from 1 species